UGUAAGUGUAAUAUUACCAUUUACCAAUGACAAAUUCCUUGUUGUUACACCGAGCAGUGAGCACACAUAAUCUACAUGAGAAAUCAAGCCUUUCUUACAAAUACCAUGUUAUGGAUCUAUUUGCAAUUAAAGACUUCAAGCAUUCACAAGAAUACAUUUUUUUUGGACAAACGAAUACUCUAAUUAUAGUAUUUUACAUCACUUCCCUUAGAUAUAUAAACAGAAUGUUCUAGUAACUGGGGCAUAAUUUGUCAUAAAAUGCAAAAUUUUGAUUCAGCUGUCAUAGAUGGUUACCUUCAAGUUUACUAAAAGCAUCUGCUGGACUUCUUCCACCUACCAGAGACAACAAAAAGUAUUUGUAAUUAUAAAAGAAUAACUGUGUGCAAUAAUCGUCUUAAACCCUUCCUUCUUCUUCUCCUUCUUCACCACACCCUUUGCCUUCUCAUCCACAACAACUGGAGCCAGAGCGGGGGCCAGAGACAGAGAGACAACAUUUCAACAACAAAAAAAUUGAAAAGAAAAAAAUAACUAGCAAACUCCUGAUAAUGUUGAUUUUGAUGGGAAUCAUAAGUAAGAGUACCUGGAUAAGAAGAUAAGAAGCCGCGAGACGGAGAGAAUGAGACUGGUGCCUGGUAGUGGUGGAAGUCGACAACGACUGGUGGGCGGUGGCUGCUGGUUUAGGCGUUAGGGUUGGGUUUCUGUGAUUUUGAUUUUUGUCGACUGUCUUUAGGACUUAGGCGUUAGGGUUGAGAAAUGAGAAUGAGACUGCUGGACGCCUGGACUGCUGGUUUCUUUGGAUUAGAAUAGGAAUUAGGAGGAGUGCGUUAGUUUAAUAGUUU
rnacentral:lncRNA from 1 species